CGUCUAUAUACGUAUAGCAUAUCAAUAAGCGGAGGAAAAGAAACUAACAAGGAUUCCCUUAGUAACGGCGAGUGAAGCGGGAAGAGCUCAAAUUUGAAAUCUUCAAGGUUCUACCUUGACGAAUUGUAGUUUAUAGAAGUGUUUUCUGUUAGUAGAGUGGCAAAAGUUCUUUGGAAUAGGACAUCAUAGAGGGUGAGAAUCCCGUAUUUGGUCAUUCUUUCUAGCUUUGUGAUACACUUUCAACGAGUCGGAUUGUUAGGGAAUGCAGUCCAAAAUGGGUGGUAAAUUUCAUCUAAAGCUAAAUAUUGGCGAGAGACCGAUAGCGAACAAGUACCGUGAGGGAAAGAUGAAAAGAACUUUGAAAAGAGAGUUAAACAGUACGUGAAAUUGUCAAAAGGGAAGCGUUUGACACCAGUGUUGUUUUUCCGAAAAUCAAUUACGAAUGUUUUAGUUUUUAAGGAAGUUAUGACUUCAUCGGCUUGCUCCUUUCUUUAUGAAACUUUCUUAAUGCACUUUCCGGUUAACAAGUCAACAUCAAUUUCUUUUGUUGUAAAAGGGUAUGAGGAAGGUGGCUUUCUUUUCGGAGAAAGUGUUUAUAGCCUUGUGCCUCUGCAAUCGGAGAGAUUGAGGUCUGCAGCGUAGAUCCUUCGGGGUUAGAUACAUUUGUGCUAAGUUAUAGCUUUUCAUAGACAACUUGUUGACUAUGUUUAGUCUUGUAGCUUACUCGCUUAUGCUAUUUUACCUACGCUUAGGAUGUUGAUAUGCAUGACUGAUAU
rnacentral:rRNA from 1 species